GAUGAUAAAUUGACCUUAUACAUGUCACCUUGAAAUUCUCUGUUUGAUUACUUUUGACUGAAAUUAUACGUUCAAAUGUUGGAAAAAUAAGAUUGUAGUAAUCUGCGAUUGUAUUCUAACCCUCUUUAUCUGUAUCUUUGUCUUCCGGUUGUAAAAAAUGGGGUCUAUGAGAAAAUGACCUCCUCUCUCUUGAUUCGUUCCCUCAGUAAACAUUAUUAUUGUGAGUUUAUGUUCUUAACGUGUCACAGUUUAAUCGAGCUGGAAUAACUGGAAGGAUCCUGUACAGUGUCAAAAGAGAAAAGCACAGCUGACACACUGCAUGGCUUUUCCUUCGUCAGCCUGUGAAACCUUUGGGAGGGCCGGCCAAUCAGUUUCAGUCCACAGCGCAGUAUGAUUCAAUGCAAAAAAGGUAUCAAACAUGCAUUAUUACAAUAAAAUAUUAAAUUGUUGGAAAAAAUGUUGAAUAAUUAACAUAAUAAGGACAUCAUAUUCAAACAAUUCAGUAUAUUAAUGAAUAUUUACGUAACGGUAUAUAUAAAACAGUAUUCGGAAUAUGAUAUAACUACCAUAUCUGUUAUAAAUAUCUAAUAUGAAUAUCUAUAAUAAAUAUAUCGUAUUAGAGGAUAAAUAUAUUACAAUAUGAAUAUAUUUAUAUAAAAUGUAUCAGAACAUGUAUAUAUAUAUAUAUAUUUAUGCAAAUACAGGGCGUUAGCAUGUAGCUAACUAGCUAAACAUCCCGGCGUAGAAGUCUACAGAAGCCUCAUAUAUCUCCUUCCCUUCCACGCCGGUCCGCGGUCUGACCGUGAGGUCGGGCUGGUCUGGUCCCGCUGUCUUUCCUCUGGUCCUUCUCUCUAGCGAGUUGGGGGUCGGGUCUUCUCGGAGGACACUGCCGGUGGACGCUCUCGUUAUGUUGUCAAACGGCGCGUCGGAGACUCGCCCUGACAGAGCGCAGCGCAGGGCGCCGAAGGGCCCAAACCUCAGUGUAUUUUAGAUGAUGUCACUCAUUUAUCUUUCAAUUGCAAUCAAUCACCCAAGUUACUGAUAGAUAAUGUCUAAUUUACAUAUUCAAACAGAACUUAAAACUUCAAAACUACAAAAAAAAUAAUUUUCUUGAAAUAAGUAAUCAACUGGGGAAUUUUUGCGUUGAUACAUAUUGGUUCAUCAUUUAAACUAUUCGCCCGUGGUCUAUAAAAUGGAUGCAGCUUUGUAAAACAUUUAGGCCAUUUCUUCUACUUCUGAUUUAGCUCGGACUUGGCGCCACAAAUCUCCACUUCAGCAGUUCUCACAUCUAACUUUCCAUUCAUUCCCAUCUAUUUCAAAAGUUUUAAUUGGGUUUGUUCAUAUAUCAUUCAUAACACAAUAUAUACAAGUAUUACUAUAGACAAGCCAUCAUGGAUUCCUUAUUUAAUGGCUGUUGAUAGUAUUUUCUGAUUUAUCGACAGAUACAAAUAUAUGUAAAAAAUCCUGUAAAGUAUCAGCAAAAAUAUGAAAUAAAUAAAUAAAUGAAAUAACAAUUUUGAGCCUAGCUUUAUCAAAUGUUCAAAUGUAAAAGCAUAGAGGGAGAGCUAAGGAAUGUUUCGGGUUCAAUGGUGCCUCUUACAAUACUUGGUCUUUGUUUUCUCUGCGAAGGGUUUGUUUCCAGUGAAGAGGGAAGUUUAUCUUGAAAAUACCCUUUGCUGUAAGCAGCAGACAUUUUAUUGACACAAUUUUUCGAAAAAUAGGUUUAUAUUGCAUGAGUUGUAAUGUAGUAAAUUCAUAUUUUUUAGUAUGUUUAAUUUCAAUAUAAUCCCUUUAAGGUUUUUAAUUUGUUUCAUGGUGUUACAUAACAUUUUAAGAGGCCUCAUGGUCUGCAAUUGAGCCAGGUGCUCUCUUUGUAUCCCAGGACACAUCAAUAAUUGUAUCCUUUGAUAGGCACUCCUCUGAAAACAGCAGUGGGAAACCCAUCUUUAAAAAAAUCAAUUUCAAUGAUAUUCCAAUUAUUGUUAUCAAUGGUCCUGUACUGUGACACAAAGGGUUGUCUUCUCCUGGUUCCUUUUUUGUUGUUGUUAAACAAGAUCCUGCUUUUUUAGCUUAUCCUUCAUGAAAGUUUGUCUUUUUUCUUUGUUUCACUGGUUAAAUUAUAGUUUCCCAUUUCUUUACACAGUCUAAUUUUUAUUAAAAACUGCAAGGUCUUUUAAGGGUUGUUGUAGAGGGCAGACCAGACCGUGCUCUACAGUAUGGUCUGCUUCUCCACACUCACAGGUGGUUGGGCCAGUCUUGUAGCCCCAUCUGGCCUCAGCAGCCUUUGACCUUCCUGUUCUCAAUCUGAGAUGGUUUGAAGUUUUCCAUUGAAACCAUUGUGCUUGUGGGUUUUCAUUGGGGGUCUUUCCAUGACAGUUGGAGAAGGGUCUUUCUCAAGCUUUUCCAUCUACAGUUGGAUUCUGGUUUCUUCCUGAAACUUUUUAGGGGCUGGCCAUGGCUGCGAAAGCUUCUUCUUGACUUUAGCCGUUGGACUGGAGGUUGACAUCCAUGGAAGAGAUGGCCUUCAUCACUUGUAGAUUUUCUUUUUCCGACUCGGCAGGCAACAUCCCGUCUAAUAUCGGCUGGGGCAAUGCCAGCCAGGAGGUGAAGGUUGCUUGUAUUGGUGGGUUUCAAGCGGCCGGUGAUCAGGCAGAAGGUGUUGUUCAGUGCUCGGUCAAGUUUCUGGCCUGGGUUGACCUCUCCAAAACCGGGCAUGCAUAUUCUGUAGAGGAGUAGCACUAGGCCGGAGUAGUAGACGUGUGUGCAGUGGUUCCCCACUUGGAGUUGGUCGGUUUCCGUAGGAUGAUGUUUCGGGAAUAGAGUGGUUACAGUGCUCAAGUGUUGUUCCAGACUAUUUAAUGAUAAGUGCUUGGUUGGCUUCACCGUUCCUGAGAAGGAAGGAGCAGACUUGGGUCUUUGCAGGGUUGGCACGCAGGUGGUUCCACUUAUAACGGCGAAGUAACUUAUCUAUAGCUGUGGUGAGGUUCAGUUCUACUGCUUCAAACAAGUUAUCUUGGGAUGUUACACAGACAUCGUCUGUUGGUAGCGGGGCAGCACACUACCUUACUGAAUUGAGCGAAAGCCUAAUGUCUGGAUUGAAAGCUAUCUACCGAUCAGCAACGCGUUUGCCGGUUUGCUUGCAAAAAUGUCGUUGGGCUUCAUUAGGGUUCGGUCCCCAAAUCAACCUGUAAACUCAAUUUUGUCAUUGUCGGGACGUCGUUUGUCAUAUUCAAAUAUCCAUGAGCUGACAAUAGUUAUUGUUCACUAGCAGUGAAAAUGAUUACAGGUACAUCUGCAUAAUGACCAUGAAGCUCAGGUCAUAUCGGAUUGAUUGGCGAGGUUAGGCACGCUCCCACAAUGUUGCCUUUAAGUUGUCAAAUCUUGAAAAAGGAAAUCUUAGUAUAAGGAAUAUAGGUUGCACACAUCUAACUCGCUUCAUAGGAACACAGUUGCUAACACAGUUCCUACCUUAAAGACAAAUGGAGGGUAAGAUACGAAGGGUUUACAUAUAUACAUUAUGAUUAUUAGUUUGGUUGACUCACAUGCUGCAUAUUCCAAAAUGUUGUUGCAAACGAACAUGUUUGUGUUGUGCUUAAUUAUCCAUUCAAUGACACAAAAGCAAUGUUAUUCAUGUUCAUUUGGACUUCACAAAAGUCCUUUAUUGUUAACAACAUAACAGCAGCGACGGACUGGCUUUGACUGGGAGACUUCUCGCUCCUCACCCCUCCAUCCCCGUCCUCCUGUUCCUCCCUCUGAAUUAUGUCUGUCAAGUCUUUCUCCAUCAUUGCGGCCCUUCGACUGGGAUCUCUCUGCAGACGGUCGCGGUCACAUGCGUGAGGGCUGGUGGGGGAUGCUGUCUGUCCUUUCCUGUCCGGUGGCAAGUGGAGGGGAGCUGCCUCCCCUGGGUGCCCCCAUCCUUGUGCGCCACACAGACCAUAUGGCCUGGCCUGGCCCCUCUAGAUGGGUGAGCUGGUCCGCGGACCACCUGAGGCAGCAGGAGCUCUCGUAAUCACUGGAGACAAGGGCCACUUGACACCAGGCUGACAGAUGGUGCUCCGGCACUGAUGCCCUGGACUGCUGCUGCUACUAGAGUGUGUGUGUGUGUGUUCAGAUUGAGAGGCACAAUAAGGGCGAUGAUGUGUCAGGGGCGGUUAAACAUGAUGGUGGCAGCCCGUCUUCCUUUGUCUCUUGGGCAGCCGUAGCCCCAGGCCAUGACUGCAGGCAAAUUUCAUCACAUAUAAAAGGAGCAGAGCCCAAACAACAGAUAAGGACAACAGUGUCCCACUGCAGCACGACGUCAAGAUUCACUGAGCAAAAACGCUUUACAUACCAACUAAUUUGGAGUCUAGGCAAUUCAUUUGUAUUUAUACAGCCAUAGAUCCCAAAUUUGCCUCAAGGGGCAUUUCAAUAGGUGAAGUGGACAAUCACCUUUCUUUAGGGGUUCAUCCUCCACAACAAGCUAUCUACAUAAUACAUACAACAUAAACCCAUUGGAAACCAAACAAAAACUUUAGCAAGGGCAUUAGGGCUAUUUUAACACCUCCAUCGUAUCCAAUCUUUCCAAGACAUCUAUUUUUUGGGGUGACGUCAUGAGAUGUUUCCUCCACUUUGACAGAAAGCUAGCUAGAACCUUGAGUAUGACAUCAGAAUGACAUCAUUCACGUCAAUGUGUUUUUCUCCAUAUUCCCACAACUGUGUCGCAUUGCACUUCUGCGGAGAUACAUACAGUAUGUCAAAAUUAAUUUAGUUGUUUUGUAUUUAUGAGGAUUAUACGAUUCAACAUGGUGUGAAAACUACAAAUCUGCAAACUCCAGGAGAAGGAAAAUGACACACUGAGGCUCUCAUGUACGUACAUUUGCAAAACAGCGUUAACAGCGCCAGAGACAACCCGCAAGAAAGCGCACGCUGUGAUACUUCAGUUUAUGUUGGAUUUCCAAAACCUGCAGCUCAUCAGCGCCUUUCUCCGCUCACCACACUGCACACUGCGGGCAUUUAAACACCCAUUUGAAUGGGCCUCCUUCUCUCUUAGAUCAACCAAAGUCAAAACGGCUAAAACAAAACUUCAGUGACAACGAAGUUGAUGUGUUUUUUGGGCAUCAGCGGUGGGGAAAUCUAGUGAGCUGUAGCAAAGCGUUCAGUACUUGUGCUGUGAUCUUGUUAUGAUCCCGUUACCAAUAAUUGUAAUUUAGCGAGGAGUUCAACAACUGCUGGAAUGGAAUGUGAACGCUGAGCGGGAGAUGCGAUGUUGGUAACUGUAAUAUUGCAUGGCUGCUUAACCUGUAACGCGUAAUGACCUCCUGUUCACUCAACUGAAAAAGGUUUGAUCCUUUCUGCUCGUCCCCUUGGCCUAUGUGACUGUCUGGCUUGUAUUGUUAUUUCACCAGGAGGCAUAUGUGAGGAAACGCGCAUUCUGGUUUACACCUGCUCUCAGAAGCGGAGACGUGCGUUCACGGGUGGUUUCUGUAGAUACCGCGGAAUACAUGAUUAGACACAUCCCCUUCCAUCUCUUCGUGGGAAAACUUCCCCUUGAACCCUCCUGUGAAUGCAUACGCAUGACAUGGAAAGCGCGAUUUGCCUUUUUCUGUUCCUGCAACAGACAGUCGCACAUUGCAAAACACAUACGCCUGAAGUGGGCGCAAAAGCGUACAUGAGGCCCUGUGUCCAGUUUUGAUCAACAGAUCAAUAAAACUACAGGCUUGUACGAGAAAGAUACUCAGGAAAGUUAUCACUGAAUGCAAUCUUUUAUCAGGAAGAGUGUAAGGUAAUCAAGAGAAAACCAGCGUUAGAGCAACAAGGCAAUCCACCAAGAGUGUGUUCUUGGCGUAUUCGAUGUCACAACAUCAGGCAGGGUUACAGUUAAAGUUGAGUCGCGGUCACCUUGGACCCCGCCACCCACUGUGUUGAUGCACUAUCUCCAUUUAAAUGGAGGCGCAUAUAUCAAGAGGGCCCUUGUAGGUUUGAACAAAGCCUUUGUAGCUGGUAUUCCUAGGUGGUCUGGAUCACUCUACAAUGAGGACGCAGAGGUAUCGGUCAGGUCUGCAUUGUGAUUGGAUAUCACAACGCUUUAGUAAAUCUACCCAAUGCUGGACUAAUAAAGAAUGGUCUAAUGUUAAAUCAUCUUAUUCUGUCUAAAGAAACUAUAUUCCUGUACAACUAAACCGCAUUAUCAUGGACGUUUUGGGGGGUUUCUCACCGUUAACAGUUUAUCGUAUUGAAGUUAUCUUGUAAAUUUAAACCUUUUAAAAACACUGAAAAACGUCUUUGUUGAGUACAGUAAAAAAUUGUGGUUAGACUUCAAGAAUAAGUGCAUUUUACCUUUUAACCUACCAUUGAAAUUACCGUUGAAAUUGCAGAAAUGAACUGAAAUUGUCACGGUGUGGUUCACGUCCUGUCUUAUUUUGUAGUUUUCUGCCACUCGUGUCCCCGGGUAACUUCACUUCCUGCCUUGUCCUGUCAUCCCCUGUGAUUGUUUGAUCCUUUCCACCUGUGUCCAAUCACCUGCACCUCCCUUGUGUAUUUAAGCCGUGUGUGUCUCUUGUGUCACUGGUGGCGUCAUUGUCGAAAGUCCUGGAUGUCUCUCAUUCCUGCCUGCAUUUUUUCCCCCUGGUACCUGUAUGCGUUUUGGCCCCUUGGCCAUUUUGAGUUGGAGUUUAUGACUAUUAAAUUCUUUUUGCUUUAAACUCUGCAUUUGAGUCCUGCCUUCCACCCACCCCGACAGAAAUAAGUCAAUGUUAAUUGUGGUUUCACACAGAAAUAACAUUAUUCAGACAAAAAAUUGUAAUUGCCAAUCCAGUUUGAUACAGAGGCGUUAUUGAAAGGAGAGGCUGGUCUACAAAGCUAAAUUAAUCCCAGACAGCAGCAUCACUGCCGCACCAUCUCCACACAAUGAUAAGAGGGCCAAUCACUAACAAACUAAUUUAAAUCUCGUCUCUGAAAACCUUGGCAUGCUUCAAAUGGGGAUAAUUCUGAACCACAAGUGCGCAAUGCCACAUGGUUAACGUUGUAAAAUAACUUUUAUUAAAGGUCAUUUAGCUGAUGCUUUUAUCCAAAGCGACUUACAUUGCAUUUUUAAUCCAUGUUUUUUUUUUACAUUUUGCCCAGGGAGAAGUUAGGGGUCAGGGGUCUUGCUCAGGGACACUUUGACACGGGACAUGGAGCAGCCGGGGUUCGAGCCGCCAACCUUGUGGUUCCCAGCGCACCCUCUCUACUCCGGGCGCCACCGUCGACCCCUCUAUGUGAGGCGCAAUGCGGAAAACAGGAACAUAACAAGGACGGAAUUGGGAAAUUCAAUUUGAUGGGAGAAAGAAAAGGAAUAAGCUUUGAAACGCAGAAUGUCACGGAUAUUAUCUCCAUAUAUCUCCAUUUCACCCAAAACUAUUCAAAUCCACACACAUCUAUCUUUUAUCUUUUAAACAUAUUCACUGCUGGAUUCUCAUAGUAGUCAAACAAAAAAAAAGUCUGUUCGUUGACACCUUAGAGAAGAAAAGUGCCGUCCAUCCCCAGUGGACUUCUCACAUUUGUCUCAACGCAUACUUGUAUUUAUGUUCUCACGAGGUUACCAAAAAGCUUUUCUCCCCCCGAUUUAAAAAUGGACAUUCAAUACUGCAUUGCAGUGCGAACAAUGACCUCAGUCUGUCGAUGCUGAAUGUUGUGUUUACUUGUCUAGACAUUGCCUGUGCCGGUCAGAUCUCUGCAAAUCAAUAUUUCAUCACUGUAGCGGCCAAACGUCAUAAGCCUGACAGCUCUGAUAAGUACUCGCAGCAGCUACGCUGAGGAGGGAACGCACUUCCACGUUCUCCAUGCAGAAAGGAGAGGCCACAGAGAUGUCUGUUGUUCGGACAGAUGCUUACUUUGGUGGCACCAUGACAGAAAAUGGACUCCAAUCUGUUUUGCUCAUCAGAUUAGAAGAGAUUUACUCAGCCAGUAAAUGGGGAAGAUGGAUGGAGAUAGAGAGUGUGUUUGAUCAGUUUGGAUGCUGGGGGUACGUGCGUGUGCGUGUGCGUGUGCGUGCUUUGGUGCCACAGCCUCUCAAAGCUUUUCUUUGCACGGCUUGUCUGUCUGAGCCUUGACAGCCAGCACCAUCCAUGGAAUCCACACACAGGCCAGAGCUGGUCCAGCAGGAAUCCUACCAACCAUCAGCUUCUAUGUUAUGAGUUUGCACUUUCCUUUGUUUAAAUCAGUAGAAUUCUUUUACAUUUUAACACUCUGCUUGCAUAUAAAACACCCAUAAUUGCAGGGGACCUGUCCUGUCCCAGGCAUCAGGAAACAAUGUUAGCGAUUUACAUUUUCUUUCAACCACUUAUACGUUGAAUGCAGAUGUCUUGGCAAACAAUGUAGUAUAUACUGUAUAUUAAUAUAGUAUUUAGCAGCCGUUAUUAAAAGUUAGGUGGUAUAAAAACACUAUCUAAAGUUAAGCGAUAUAAUCCUGUUAUUGAAAGUUAUUUGAUAAAGCGACACAUGAAUUUGGGGACCGAUUUGUUGUAAUUAGUGUGAGUCCCCUCAAUGUUCCAUGACAUGUGGGUAGACAGCAUGGUUGUUAAGCCUAAGUGCGCCUCGUGCUGGACACGGAGGAUACUAAAAUGUGCAGCAGUGUCUUAAAAAGAGACAUUUAUAGGUAACUCUUCCAAACUCUCCUACCUUCACAUUUUGUCCUCAAAUAAAGCGUCUCAACCUUUGGUGGAGGGAUUAAAAAUCUAGAUUAUGAAAGAAAAUCAUCAAGAAUCAAUUAAUAUGAUGCAGCUUCUAAUGAAAUCAUUUGACGUAUAACAACUCCAAGGAAAAUUAUUCCAGUGUUUUAUGAAAUAAAGAGCAUAAUCUCAUGGCCCUACUCUGCACUGACCACAGGUCACCCGUCCCUCAGGUCUCCUCUGGAAUCGACUUGAGCUCUCAUUCGCUGUAGCUUCCUGUCCGCCCAGAUAUUUAGCUGGCUAGCUUGAUACAUUGUGUUCCAGAGCGCGCUGACACCAGUUUGCCCUCUGAUAUUUGUUGAAGAUCAGUAGGUAAAUAAAUCCAAUCCCCAAUUUCAGAAAAGGGUCUUUUGAUUUUUCCCACCUUCAUUGCACUGCAACAUUGUGCCUUAUAAAUGUGAAUUUAUGUAAUGUUAGCUUUGAACUAGCCACUGUGACGCCCAACAAUUUUGAUCGCCAGUGCUAAUCUGUACUGGGGGCUGAUCUUUUUUAUUUCAACACAUGGAAAAUGGAAGCCGUAAUGCAUUGAUACUUUUCUUCAGCAGAGGUUUAGUCGUAACUCCUAAAUCCUGUGGAUAAAGUCCUUCAGCCGUAGAAUAUUUUCUGGUUGAGUGAGUCUUUGGCUUUCGGGUUUUCUACCAAAGGAGAUGAAACAAUGAUCUCCUAAUUAGUGGGUGAAGAACAUGGGAUUGAUAGACUACAGAGUUGAUGAGCUGAUGAAUGGGAAUAAAUGCAGGCAGGCGUUGAGGGAGACUGGGCUCACAUAUACAGAACCACACAUCAAUACCAGCAGACAGGAUCAAUGGGAAGCACAGGGGAGUCAUAAAGUCAUCAUGUGCAUCAUGGACAUACCAACGGCUGAGUGUGCCAACAGAGCAGCCACCUCAUUUUGUCAAGAUCAUUCGUGAAAACGCUAUUUCUUUUGUAACAUGCUGGGGCAGACUGUCAUGACUGUCAGGUCUCCAAACCAACUGCUUGUGCAGCAGCUCUGAGAAUCACUGCUGAGUAUUUCAAAGCGAGAAGAAAAUGUUUGCUAUUUUUCUAUGUGGAAAAACUAAGUAAAAAGCUUUUACAUCAUGUUGUCUGAUUCCACUCUUGACGCUUUAAAAUCACACAAGAUAACUAUUUUUGCAACUCUAAAUGUGUAUUCUAUGUUUGGUUCUUUUCGAAGCCCCCCAAAAACUACAAAGGCGUUUCCACAGCAACGACCACUGACGAAAACCACAAAUUUUUGAUACAUUUUCUGUAAGUUCUUUAGAUUUUACUGACCAAAGUUGAUCCAAUUAACUCCCAAGUUAGUGCACGAUUAACGAGUUAACGAUAUUAACGAGUUAGUGCAGUCCCUCGAAAUACGCAUACAACAUUAAAAAUGUCUGAGUUUAGUAGGGGGCGCUAUCGAGCCAAAAUUGCAGCUCUGUUUUAAAAUCAUACCUUUGUGUGUGUUCAUGUGUGAAACUGAUUUUAUGGUGAUGCAACUUACUUAGACAGAAAUCCAAAGAAUAGAGACAUUAACGACAUUUCUAAGCUAUCCAUCCAUCCAUCCAUUGUCAAACCGCUUAUCCUGCACACAGGGUCGCGGGGGGGCUGGAGUCCAUCCCAGCCAACUUCGGGCGAUAGACAGGGUACAUCCUGGAUUGGUCGCCAGCCAAUCGCAGGGCGACACAGAGACAAACAACAAUUCACACUCACAUUCACACAGCUACGGGCAAUUUAAAGUCCCCAAUUAACCUGAUCCCCAGAGCAUGUCUUUGGACCGUGGGAGGAAGCCGGAGAACCCGGAGAGAACCCACGCAGACACGGGGAGAACAUGCAGACUCCACACAGAAAGGCCACUGGGCAGAAUCGAACCCAGGACCUUCUUGCUGUGAGGCAACAGUGCUAACCACCACACCACCGUGCCGCCGUGCCGCCCCCAUUUCUAAGCUAUGACUGACUAAAUAUUUGCUUGUAUGUGUCUUCAGGCCGGGAGUAUCAUCAAGGAUGGGACAUAAUAAACAUUAGCACUGCCACUAAACAACACGCGCACGGGACUCCAACCGGGCUUCCCUUUCACUGAGCCAAUUGGUGCUGGCCUACAAAAAUAUUGAAGUACUGCAAUAAAUAAGCGUCCCAAAUAAGUCCCAAAGUGGAGGGUCAGUUAGCUUUGAGAGUCGAGAGGACCUCCCAGGUUCCUCCAACCAUCAUGGCCACCUUCAUGCUGACAUAGUGAUGGAUUGUUAACAGAGACCGAUUGCAUUUCAUGUUUGAGAGGGACGGAGCCAAGGUUGAACAGAGGUGUUGACGAGCUGCAAGUGAAGGGUAUUACGUUCCAGUUGCUUCUCAACGGACUGAGAGCUUUGUAUCACUGUGUCGCCCCAGUAAGCUUGACUCAUGUGUUCUUGUUGUCACGGUGUGGCUUAUUUCCUGUCUUAUUUUGUAGUUUCCUGCCUCUUGUCUCCCUGGGUAACUUCACUUCCUGCCUGGUCCUGUCAUCCCCUGUGAUUGUCUGAUUGUUUCCACCUGUGUCCAAUCACCUGCACCUCCCUAGUGUAUUUAAACUGUGUGUGUCUCUUGUGUCACUUGUCGCGUCAUUGUGCUGGAUGUUCCUCGUUCCUGCCUGCCUUUUUGCCCCGGUUCCUCUGUGUGUUUUUGCCCUUUUGACUAAUAAAGUCUUUUUGUUUUCUCAAUCUGCAUUUGAGUCCUGCCUUCCCACGCUCCCGUGACACUUGUAGAGGCAAAUUAUGAAAUGUAUAGAUGCUUUCAAGUAUCCCUCCACGUUGAGAAGGAAACCAAAAAUGAAUAGGACUCUCCAGACAUUCUUCUCUAUAUGUAUUUCAUUCAUUCCAUCUGUUCAGUUAAUAUGAAUAUAUGAUGUAAUAUGAAAGCACAUAGGAGCCGUUUUAAUUACAUUGCAAUAAAUCAAUCAAAAACCAAUUAAGGUGUCCAUUUUUCAAGUUCAUUCAAUUUAAAUGAUUUCUAUCCUAAUCUUAAAAAUUACAAGACACCAAAAUGAAAACACAGACUACCAAUGAUGAGUAAUAAUGAGGACUCAUUCAGCCCUCAUUUCAUUUGCCUCAAAUGAAGAAGUUGUAUACUUGCUAAUGUAGAUCCUCAAGUGAUCCAUCGAUUCCCUGCCGGGGCAUAAAUAACUUCUGUGUCUUACCAAUGAAAGUCAAACAUUCAAAAACAGAUUAGUUGAUUAUGAUGGGGCAGGAUUGGAUUUGACGAAAUGUUAGUGCACUACAGAGUCUGUAUCUAGAAUAUUAGUAAAAACUGAACCCAGAGUUCCGACCAGGAAGCAGAUUUACAGUCCAACACACUUACACACUGGCCUAAACAGAAUCAGUGUUUUAUGUAUAUAUUUUUAAAAUCUAUUCUAUUCUAAUUGUAGUCUUCUUCAUCUAGAAGGAAUAAACGAUUUGCUGCAUGUGGUCACAGUGUACCUUUAGAACCAAUGUACAGUAUGUUUCCACGAGUGAGUUAGAUUCAAGUCGCUUUAGAGUUGAGGAUCACGGCAACAAUUAGCUUGGUUGGGAUGAUGAAAGAUUAUGUUUUAAUCUUUCAGUUUCAGUUUAAUUGGCGCACAGCGGACAUGAGAGAUCCUGAGUUCAGCACCACUACUUACUGUCCCGGAAAUCAUUUUGAAUUUAAUCCUCACUACAGAUUUACAGUUAUUGUAUACUGAACGAUUCACACCUCCAGUAUUAAUGAAUUUCCGUUAAAUGUGUAUUUUUUGUGUACUGGGGGGCCCGCGAACCUCCAAGGGCGGAGUUCUGCUGGGGUGGUGUGGGGGAAGGUGAGAGUGAUUAAGGUGGAUGUGACUUGGAGAUGCACUGAAUGGACUGAUUAGAUGACUGAGAGGUGGAAAAAACAGGGUUGCAGUGGCAGAGCUGUAACAACAGUAUGCUAACGCUACGUCCUAAGAAUAUUACAUUGAAUGACAAAUACUCAAAAUACUAAUGUUUUAAAAUACAGAAAAUGGCUAAAAUACACACAGCCACCUAGAGGACGGUCGUCCAACUGAGCAACUGCAUUUCAUUUGAGAUAAUGUACUCUAUUACCUCCUCCCUGAAACAAAGAUUUCACCAUAAACCCCCAUGCAUCUGACCUGAUCUGUGUUACCGUGAUGCAGUUCAACACAUACGUGACAUGGAAAGAGUGAAAUGGAGCGCUGUGCCUGCCUUUCAUUUAAGUUUGCAUUCCCACAGCAGGCGAGGUCUCACCCCGAGUCUCCCGCUAAAAGGUUUUCACACAAGGGUGAUGUUUAUUCCAACAGCCACCUCUCUUCACCACUAAUCCAAAUGUUUAUAUGUUCAUUAAUCCAGAAUUUCCCCUAAUGCAUCACUUAUAAUAACAGACCUGGCACCUCCCAGGAAGUGUUGUGGCGUAAUUGUGAGUUGAGAGGAUGAGUACAUGGUCAUAUUUAGAGAUUUAGCGGUAAAGUUUGGUCUCCCUGUUUCGACCUGACACUCGCACUUGAAUCGACUCGAUGAUUUCCAAGCUCUGAUAUCCGCACUCUGUGUAAAGAAGCAAAAUGAGAGAGCUGUGUUGAAAAAUACAAAAAAAGCCUUUAAAAAUAAGUCAUCUCUGAUUAACAGACAUAACGUGCAGUAGGUGUCACCCUGGGGAAUUUGAUUAUUUUUCACCAUUAAUAAUAUAAACGCUUGAACAAUUGAAAUUUUCCACUUCUUAUAAUGUCUUUAUAAAACUUCAAUAAGAACGGCUGAAAUAAAAAGUAUGAUUUUUUCCAGGUUUGAGUUUCCAUAAAUCUGAUUUGACGUCCAAUCUGUAAUUAGCGGAAUUAGUACAGACCAAAAUAAUCGUCUGUAUGUAAUGGCAGCAAUCAGCUGCAGUUCCACUGCCACAUUAGUUAUAAUAUUGUCAGUUAUAAUAUUGCCAGCUGGCUUAACCAUGCAAUUUUUGCUGAAAUCCAGGUAGCAUAAAUUAUGUGUGUCCCCCCCCCCCGCACCAGUGUACAACAGUUUCAGAGUAGAAUUUCCACCUUGUGUCUGUACGGCACCAGCAACAAGUCAUGGAUAUAAUUUUAUCCUUUCUGAUUUUUGUGCAAAAUUGUCAUAAUUAGCAAAUCAAGUCUUGUGUGAAGGCCAAAAAGCGUUUUUUUUGAGGUCAAUGGUCUUUGACCACCAACCCAUAAUCAACUCAACUUGAAUCACUCAAUUGGAAGAGGCUCCCUCUCUGCCAGGGGUAUUCAAUGAAAAUCCAACAAGGUCCAGUUGGAGAGAGGUUCUUCAUGCAAGGUCCAGAACAUCACAAUGUCCAACUUGCGCUAUAAUAUUGUCCCAUACAUUAACAGAUAUAUUAAUGUAUUUGUGUAAUAACUGAAUCAAAUUUCGAAAAAUGAAUUGAAUAACAUCUCGACAUAAUAUAUUGUUGUUUUCAAAAUGAAAUAUAGGCAACCUAUACGGGGUAAUGAAAGAUAAACGUUUGUCUCUUAUUUCACAUAAAAUCAUGCUGAAAAGGUGAGAUGGCAGUAUAAAGGUGUUUGAUAUCAGCUGUCAAUCUGUUUUCUGUCCUGUAAACAGGAAACACAUUUACAGUGUGUCCGUAAAUUCAAAAUAAAUUAAUUAAAUUUUCCAGAGAGAUUUACCAAUCUGUUUUUUCAAAUAUCCCGUUCAAAUUGGAAGCCGUUGAAGUUCAACCUUUUCUGAAUGUUUGUGUAUCAUUUUAUGUGAGUGACAUAUCUUACUGCCUUUAUUUCCAGUUACUAAUAUUUAACUCAUUUGGUUUGGGCAAAGCUUGUAAAUUUAGUUUUUCCUAAUAUGCCAUAUCUAAAAAGAAAAAAAAACAAAUUUUCCCAUUUCUAUGGUCUAUAUAAAAUGGAAUACUUACAAUACUUACUACAAUAUGUAACACCAAUAUAAGGUUGAUGAGUUAGUUUCCAAAGCUUAAAGGAAAAAAGGAUCACUUGUCUUUUGAUUGGAUAUCAUUUUUCAUUCCCACACAGAAGACAGAGUUUACAGGAGAAAUUUGAGGAAUUUGAGGUGAAGUGUCUUGCGCAACGUAGCGCAACAUUGCAGCAAGUGGCGUAGCUUUACAGUGCUGUAACAUAGCUGUACAAUGCAGUUUUUACAACUUAGUUGUACAACGUGGUUUAAGAACUUGGCAUAACAAGUUGACGUAACAAGCUAAUUUAGUUAGCUAGCACACCGAACAUCAGACUCGUCAAAUUCCAGCAUCUUUUUGCACCCACGUUCAGCCAGACCACCUCUGGGAUUUUCCUUGCAGUGCAUAGAUGUUAUUUUAUAUUAUUUCAUAUUUAGAAUGUUGUUAAAGUUAAAAUAGUUAUAUUUGGUUACAAGAUUAAAAAAAACAUGUGGCUUUUGCCAAGACAGCACUAAAUCUGAAUGGGCAAUAUUAAACCAUGCUCUUCCCUAAUAGCAGUAUUACAUCUUUUCAGUGACAGCAAAAAGUGAUACAGUGAAAACUGUAAUUAAAAUGUCUAAUUGGCAUAUUUUAGUAGAAUGAAGUAAAUUACUAGAGCCUCAUGAAAUAAUUGAAAAACAAAGCAAUUAUGGUCUGCAGGCACCAUUCAGUCUGAUAAUUGCAGUGCAGCUCGGUCUGACAGCAAACAGAAUUGCACUGGGCUGAACUAGGAGAUUCACUUGCUGCGUUUCCAGCCAACUUCUCAUACUUCUCGUACCUUUUUUCACCUGUCAACCAUACACAGAAAACAUAUGAACAAUUGGGUUUCUUCUGAAACACAGCAUUAUGUUAAAUACUUACCCACAAACCUGUGUUUUAUACACGAGCGUCACAGGUUUAUUAUCUUUUGGACUUCCUACUAUGACAAAUAAUGAUACCUCAAGGAUCGCAACAUGUCCAUUCAUUUGUCCAUUUUGCUAUUCAAGUCUUAGAACUGCUGCUGACCACAUGGUUAGAUACCAGCAAGGGUUGGAAUGAAAACAUUUUUUUUAAUUCAAUGUCUGAAUAGGAAUAAUAAACACUUUUAAUAAACACAAGAUAAAGUGGGGCCCUGGCUGAAAGAGAUCGUUCAUCUGGCCUUUAUGCACACGGCCUGGUCUACUUUGCCUUCUCUUCUGAGGCAAAGCGGAUUUAAAUCAUUGAAAUACUCAGUUUGUCAAAACACGAGUGUGGAUGUUCACUGAUUAGGGUGACAAAGUGUCUGCUGAGUUUGUACACAGCAGUAGGCCUUUUGUUUCCUAACGGCGAGGGGUGAGGUCAGCGCAGCCGUAGCCAACAUCCAGACAGAAGUCAUCUGACCUCUUACUCCUACUUGCUUCUUUGGCUCUGUCACUCAGUGCCUCUCCUCCUACUCACACAGCCGGCAAUCACCUUCACUACAUCUUCACUAGGAACUGCUCCACCACUAACGUCUCUAACUCCACUUCACGUCUCUGACCACUUCUUCAUCUCCCACUCUCUAUAAGUAACUUCACAGCUAGGAACCUCGGCGUGACACUCUCCCUGACUCCCAAACUAUACAGCACCCAUUUUCCCACCUCUUAUUGAGUUUGCUGUCUGACUUUAAAAAAAUGCAAUUGUCAUUUUCUUUGUAUGGGACAUUAAACAGACUUCACGCUGCGAGCUUCCUUAUACAAAAUCCUAACAAAUUCUACAGUUGCUGAACCAAGGGAAAAUAAAAUGUGUGAGCACAUGGCAGUUUAGGCUUUAAAGGUCUGAGGUAAAAGUGCUCAUCUAAAAAACUGAUUUCUCCCUGUGUUUUAAGUGCGUUGUGGCCUUGGUGUAAAUACGUAUUUCAGGGUUCACACUUGAGGGAAAUACCCCUUUGGAUGGACUGAGAACAAGCUGGAAAGAUACAGUAUAUACAAAUAUUCCCACAACACACAGGGUCUGUGGGAACACCCUGGAAUCCUUCAGGAGGACAUUUCAGAGGAGAAAAAUAUCUGUUUGAGUAUAUAUGUGUGUAUGAGUACUGUUGUAUGUCAAACAAAGUCAAAUAAUGCAUCAUUCAUUUCAUAGUAAACAAUUACUUUAUAAUCAAACCUCACAUCAAUAUUUCACAAUGCUUUGUUUGAGGCGAUCAAAUAUUUUUCUUUCACGUAGAUCCCUUUUCGCAGUAGCUUUGCUGGCCGAGGGUCUCUGGAGGUUUGCACAGGUCUCCCGGGAGCUCUCUAAUGCAUGUGACCAGAGGAGACCUCCAUGUAGGUCAAGAUGUUUUCCAGGCACGUCUUCUCACUUUAUCCAUCUACUGGGACGCUCAGUGAGAAAGCCUCUGCCUGUCUGUCCACCCCAAAUGCUGCGGUGCCCUUUCCGGCUAAGGUGACAACAACUGUGUCUAAUUGUUUGGAAGGGAGCUCUAAAGAAAGCCGUCCUUUCAUGGCCGGGUUGCUUACUUCAAGGUGACCAACUGGUUAUCUUUGUAGUUCCAGAACCUCAUGUAGUUCCUUUAUUUCCAUAGUUUGUUGAAUGAUUUCAAAUACUGAGUACUAAAGAGAGAAUAAAAGUGUCUUUUGGUUGUUGGCUGGUCGUUGUGGGACAGAGAGACUAUGUGGACUGGCCGUAGUGGGGCGGAGAGGCUGAGUGGACUGGUUGUAGUGAGAAAGAGAGACUAUGUGGACUGGCCGUAGUAGGACAGAGAGACAAUGUGGACUGGCCGUAGUGGGACGGACAGGCUGAGUCGAUUGGUCGUCCUGGGACAGAGAAAUUAAGUGGACUGGUCUAGUGGGACGGGGAGGCUGAGUGGAUUGGUCGUAGUGGGACAGAGAGACUAUGUGGACUGGGCCGUAGUGGGACGGAGAGACUAUGUCGACUGGCCGUAGUGGGACGGGGAGGCUGAGUGGACUGGUGGUAGUAGGACAGAGAGAUUAAGUGGGGCUGGUCGUCGUGGGACAGAGAGAUUAUGUGGACUGGUCGUCGUGGGAUGGGGAGCCUGACUGGACUGGUCGUUGUGGGACAGAGAGACUAUGUGGACUGGUCGUAGUGGGACGGAGAGACUAUUUGGACUGGUCUAGUCGGACAGUGAGACUAUGUGGACUGGCCGUAGUGGGACGGAGAGGCUGAGUGGACUGGUCGUCCUGGGACAGAGAGAUUAAGUGGGCUGAUCUAGUGGGACAGAGAGACUAUUUGGACUGGUCGUCGUGGGACAGAGAGACUAUGUGGACUGGUCGUCGUGGGACAGAGAGAAUAUGUGGACUGGUCGUAGUGGGACAGAGAGACUAUGUGGACUGGCCGUAGUGGGACGGAGAGACUAUGUCGACUGGCCGUAGUGGGACAGGGAGGCUAUGUUGACUGGCCGUAGUGGGACGGGGAGGCUGAGUGGACUGGUGGUAGUAGGACAGAGAGAUUAAGUGGGCUGGUCGUUGUGGGACAGUGAGACUAUGUGGACUGGUCGUCGUGGGACAGAGAGAUUAUGUGGACUGGUCGUCGUGGGAUGGGGAGCCUGACUGGACUGGUCGUUGUGGGACAGAGAGACUAUGUGGACUGGUCGUAGUGGGACGGAGAGAUUAUUGGGACUGGUCUAGUCGGACAGUGAGACUAUGUGGACUGGCCGUAUUGGGACGGAGAGGCUGAGUGGACUGGUCGUCCUGGGACAGAGAGAUUAAGUGGGCUGAUCUAGUGGGACAGAGAGACUAUUUGGACUGGUCGUCGUGGGACAGAGAGACUAUGUGGACUGGUCGUCGUGGGACAGAGAGAAUAUGUGGACUGGUCGUAGUGGGACAGAGAGAUUAAGUGGGCUGGUCGUCGUGGGACAGAGAGAUUAAGUGGACUGGUCGUCGUGGGACAGAGAGAAUAUGUGGACUGGUCGUAGUGGGACAGAGAGAUUAAGUGGGCUGGUCGUCGUGGGACAGAGAGAUUAAGUGGGCUGGUCGUCGUGGGAUGGGGAGGCUGACUGGACUGGUCGUUGUGGGACGGAGAGAUUAAGUGGACUGGUCGUAGUGGGACAGAGAGAUUACGUGGACUGGCCAUAGUGGGACGGAGAGGCAGCCCAGGUCGACUAUAAAGACUGUGUCCUCAUGAGGAUGCAUCCGACCAAAUGAGACACCGAUACAGAGUGGAAAGACAUAGGAAGCUGAACUGGCUAGAAACUGCUAAUUUGUCUCCGUCCUUCAGAGUUGAAAAAUAUACCCACUGUACAAGCACCACCAAGCUGACUAUUCUUAGUAGUUGAAGUGGAGUUAAAAAUCCUCAUCAGGUCUGAGACUACUUACUGCAUCAUGUUGAAGGAAAAAUGAAUUUUAAAGCAAGCGGCUGAGUGAUGAAACCCGAAGCUUCCGUAUGACGAAAAGUAAGGAAGUGACACGGAAUGCCGUGCAUCGCAUUUGAAGAAUUCAAUGUUUGUCAGACCAUAAAUAAGACAAGAAUUGCUCCCUGCAACUAAUUCGGUGGGAGGAGGGUUGCUGUCUGCUUCACGCAGCAGCCGCUCACUGGCCAUCCAAUGCCUUUAUGCUGCCAGUCCUCCCUAUGGGGAGAUGGACAGUCUCUCUCUCUGCCUUAAGGCCUGAGGCCAAGGGGUGUAACGAUUCAUUUUAACACGAUUUCGAUUCGAAUCACGAUUCAUGGGUGCCGAUUCGAUUCAUGGACGAUCUGGGUUCAUUUAGAACGAUUCGAUUCGAUUCAGUGACUUGAAAUCGAUUCAGUAACUUUACUGGACAGUGCAGGCAAAGUUUCUGAGAUCCCUGUUGUUUCUUGUAAGGAAAUCAGGUUUAAAUUAAUUAUGGAUAUUAUAAACAAGCAAACUACAAUUAAUGGCAAAUGUAUUAACCUUUUAUUUGAAUUAAGUUACACAAUAAUUCAUAAGGUAAUCAUUAAUAUAAUAAUAUGUGGGAUAUCUCGAACCCUGAUGUCAGCUUUCAUUAAAAGUACAUGUUCCCACAGUGGUAGAAGCUCAUACUCAACAAGCAUCGGGUUCAUUGUAAACAAUGGAGGACCAAGAGAGAAUAAAUAGGAUUAAUUGCUUUCCACACAUCAAGCUAAAGGACUUAAGUUCAACUUUAGCCAGUUUGCUAAAACGGAAUAAUUCCAGAAAUUCUGAUUAAAAUGCAUUGCCCUUUUAGGCAAGUUCAUUUAUUUAUGUAUCGAUAAAUAAUUAAAUGAAAGGAAAAUAAGAACGAAGACGGAAGACGGCCUGAAUUCUCUGUAAUCAUCUAUUUCAUAUUUAAUUCAGCCUUAUUCUAAAGGAACUACAAGUAACCCAAAAUGAUGAAAUGAUUCCUAAUUUCUAGUACAUAUUGUUUCUGACAUUAGGAAAAUUAUGUUAAAGAUAAAUGUAGGAGUGUGCCUGUGCGGCAACAUUGACAUUUUUAAAAUGAGUUAUGACGGUGAAGAUUAGAAGCAACAAAAGGUUACACAUUUAAAUGUGUAAUAAAUAAAUAUCAAUAAAUAUGACUCAACGGGUCACUUCUGGUCAUAUCGCUGAUGAACACAUCAACAUGCUAGAAAAUACUGCUUGUUUGUCAGGUGAGACCCGUUUACAGCAGGCAAUCAAUCAAAGCCUCAUAAUGUUCAUAACGACAUAUGACUACUCUAUAGUUACUGGACAGAUUGGUCAAAACCGUUAAUCCAGCUCAGCCCAAAAGUGUUUCUUUUCACAAGGAGCCCAGAGACGAAUGAGAUCCUCAGCAGGACGGGCUUUGGUAGCAGGUUAUGGUCCGGAUCUAAUUGACUGUUGUAAAAACAGAGUCUGCUUGGUGCUGCGGGCGCAAAGCAGCGUCCUAUAACUUAGCCACUGCUGGUACUUAAUAUAUAAUGCAAUAUUCUACACUGUGCCAUUUGUCAUUCGGAGCGAGACACAGAUUAUGGCUCAGGGCAGUGCAUCUGUCCUGGAGGCUGCUGGGAAAUGGGAACUAAAAGCUCCUCCAGCUGAGCCGGGGCCGAUCCCACCAUGAACCCUGGAUCACCUUUGCUCCUCCGCUUUCCAGCACUCUAGCCUCACGCACACGCACACACACACACACCUUCUCGCCGUCUUACACACACACACACACUCUCUUGCUGUUCCCCCCUGGUUUGUCUCAACAUGCAGGAGUUGGCGGUUUCCGUGUGUUGUUGCACACUAACCUGAGCAGCAGCAGCGUCGCCCCUAACCGACCGCACAGAUCCCUACUGCUGUCUGCAGCAUCUCCUCUCUGCAGGCCGCCUCAGCCUGCUGGGGAGUCUAAAUCAACCAUAUUGAUAUCCUACUGGGGGCAGUCUGGUUGCUUUGACAAAUCCUCCCCAGCGUUUAUCAAUCAAGUCAUCCUCAGCAGAGGGGAGGACCUCUAAAGACGGAGCCAGGCCCGCCUGCGGGGGCGCGGCGGAGAAAGGAAAACGCGCUGCGGUCUGCGCCGACACGUCACCGCCACGCCUCCGCUCUAACAAUUUAUGCACACGUGCCGCAAAUUAAAAUGCAGGCGGGGUGUUGGGGAAUUGUCAGGCUUCAAAUGGUUGACAUAACUUACAAGCAAAAUUUUAAUUAGCCUGGAGGAGCGGGGUGAUAAUUCAGAAGGGGGCCCCCCGUUCUGUCAGGGGGCUUGUCCACAUUGUGUUUUCUCCUUUCAGUCGGGCAUCUGGAGGCUCCUUUGGGGCCCCCGCGACAGGGUCCACUGAGGAUAAAACUACUUGUGACAUACAAUGAAAUGUAGCGCCGACCUCCAGCUAAAGUGAUGGUUACACUGCAGAUGCUCGUCUGGGUGUUCUGCUUCAUGCUCCUGCAACGUAAGGCCACUUUGUUACACAUUAAACGCUAUAGUUGAUUGAUAUUAAAGGGAUCUAAAGCGCUACUUUGUUUCUUUGUUUCGAUCUGAGAAGAACAAGUCCUCAUUCUAAAGCUGCUCAAUGUCUCCCAAAGGGAAUGAAUGACGCGCCGACACCUGCAAACUGCUCCAUUGAAUCACCGAAGACACAAAGAUACAAACACAAAUACUGACCUGCAGUAUCAAAUGAGCGAGUUUCUUUCCUUUCAAACAUUUGUACAUUUAGAAUAGUUUUCCCUUUAGGUCUGAGAUUCUUGUCACCUUCUCUGCCAUUUAAAAUUCCCAUUCGUUCCCUUUGCCUCCAACAAAUACGAUUCUGGCUUGAAGCACAAUAAUCAUCCAAAUCAUGUCAAAUCGUUGGCACUUUAAUGAACAGAAAUUGAAUAAGUUGAAUUAUAACAAAAAGAAAUAUUUAAGUAAGAUAACUGAGAAGCUAAGAGACAAGAACAGGACGUGAUACUGCAUCUUCCAUCCAUCCUCAGUUGCGUCUUUAUUUGUACGCUGAUAUCGUUACGUGUGUGUGAUCUCUACGGGUCUGCAGCUCAUCCAACAAAGCCCGUCUCUGGAAGCCCGUGUCACCACUGCAGCAAGUAAUCAGGAUCAUUAAUAUUUCACAGUCCGCCACGCCCCCCCAACCCCCCCUCGUCCCACCCCGACCGUUAUCCAAUCUCAGCUCCUGUUCCACACUGCACUUUAUGUUGCCAUUAUUUAUUUACUGAUAAAGUCGUGGCGGGGUAAACACUGCUGGGGGGGCUGGACACGUAGGGGAGGGUGGAGCAGGGGUGGGCCUGCCAGUUGUUUGGGGGAAGGAUGGAGAUCUGCACUCUGCCCUCUGGGCUGCUGCCCAUUUGAGGGGUGGUGGGGGGGGGGUGUGUGAAAGAGGAGACUAAAUGGAAAAUGUCUCAUGUCUUUCUCUGACUGUGGAGAGCUACUGUGUGUGUGUGUGUGUGUGUGUGUGUGUGUGUGUGUGUGUGUGUGUGUGUGUGUGUGUGUGUGUCUGAAGGCCUGAGUGGACAAAACCAACACAGCGUAUUUCUGCAUGUCAAUUAAAUGACUCAUUAACGUGGUCGGUUGGGGAAUGUGUUCAUCCACCAGGCUAAACAACCAAACAGAGUUAUUACAGAAUUACUGGGACAACAUCCGCACAAUGCAUCAAUGCAUGUGACCAUCACCAUGUUCCUGUUUCCUUCACUACAACAUCCACCAAUCACCCCAGAGAACAACCAUUAAAUGUUAUCAGCAGAAAAGGACUCACUAAGAGAGUUAUUCCGUGCAGAGCAACUCUAGUAUUGGUUCAUUUAAGAGUCUUCUUAUCAGUAUUUGUAUAUAUUUUGUCAAAUUGACCGUAUCUUUGCUAGAGCAGCUAAAUGUGCAAGUAGGCUUGAAGCUCCUUGGCUGUCUGUUCACGAGAAAGCUUUAGUUAAGUUUCUUCAUUUACUUGUUAUCAGGGGGGACACAAACAUCUUAACUUCCUUCGACCCAUCCGACUUCCUCCCAAUAUGAACUUGGGGAAACAAAAGUCGGCGCUGUGGUCGAGUUCUCUGGUGUGAAAUCACACCCAGGAGACACUCAGGAGCAAAGGGUGGACAUAAAACAAAUCUUCCUGUCAGAAUUUCUAAUGCCGCCGCUAAGCAGCCGACUGAACAAUGAGCCGAAUGCGUUAACGCCUCUUGGAAGCCAGUUUAAAAAGAGAACCCCACUUGCUUUAUCGGGAUACAUGUUAAUCAACCCAGCAUGUCAAACCGGAACCUGUGCUGUCAGGUCCCUGUUUUAUUGACAACUCAGCGUAUUCAUCCUCCUCCCAGACUGCGGUCGGCAGUGAUCUGGCUGCUUAGUGUCCUCUGACCUCUUGGUGCCCCCCCCCCCCCCCCCCCCCCAACGAGGACUUAGCUGUGAGCUGUGAUUGUAAAUCCACGUCCUUGUGACCAUCUGUGCCAGGCUCCACGCAGUAUUGAUGAUCAUGUGACAUGUCGAAUGAAUACAAAUUCCGUGGCCCUCCCAUUAUGUGUUCAGGGCCCCCUGUUCCUGAGGACCAGUCAGAUGCUCGAGCAGAAGGACGUAUCCCACAGAUAAUAUCUGGAUGAGUAAAAGGAACGACCUCAUUUAUCAUUUCUCAAUCAACUACUGGUUCCACGCUUGUCUCCUGCUCACUUCUGCAUCUCCAGUCGCUAACCAGCGGAUGCAAGAAGAAGUGUUGGUGUCCCAGAUCCAUAAUCAAGAUCAGUAAAGCCGAAUCAGUAAAGGAUUUUGGGAACAUUCCCCCUCAGAUGACAAAUGAAAUCUCAUGCUUGUUCGACACGUCCUCACAUCAGAGCGUCAAAAGUGGUGUAAUGCAUCAUGUGACUGAAGCGCUAAAAUGUCAAGCUAACGUUUACUUUCACACCAGAAACUAUUAACGGCCUCCGGGACAAAAGUCCCGUUUAAUUACCCGUUAAAUUUGUAUCAUAAACUCAGACGCUCCCUUUCAAAGUUGAUUCAAUGUAAAAUGUAUUUUUUGGGAAAACACGUUGCAAUUUUGUGCCAUCACUACAGACUUUUCCUGCAGGAUUCUGGGCCUUUUAUGUCCUGGAGGCUUUUCCCUCCUUUUCUCCUUUGUAAUACCAGCCUUCUGUUCAUAGCGUCAUUGGAAGACUUUUCUGUGGGGCAAAACAAUCCCUUUUGGGCCACUCACGACUGCAUAACAUCAUACAUACUAGUGCAGCAUUCCAGUGACUCGAUGUGAUCAGAACCGUUGGCUUCCUUUCCCGGUUCCCGUGUGCGGUGUAGGAGGUGCUGGUGAUGUGAGGGUGACCCCUGUUAUCAGAUGGCAGGAAGCGCCAGGAGGUGUCCUACUUUGUAUGAACACAAAAUUACCCAUCUAAAAUUCAUAAAUCCCUCUGCUUAUCUUAAUUUCAAAUAAAUUGCAUACUUUUGUUCAGCUUUUAAAAUGAUAUUGCUACAUAAAUGAAAGUUCAACAAAGUAUAAUCGGCUGCAUUUCCAUAAAUUUCCCUAAUGGAGUAAUCCCUCUCAGACAAAGGACAAAAUUUGCAGGAUAUUGUUGUGUUUCUGCCUUUCAUCCCAAGCUCCCUGAUUUUCAUAUAAAAGUAUUUUUUGGAAGCACUCAGUGACUUGGCAGACAAUACAAUGCUAGUCAAGAGCAACGCUGACUAUGGAGAUUCAUUUAUGGCCUGAUUUUAGAACAGCACUCGGAGAGCAAUAAAAUAUUCAUCAUCAGAAUACAAAUAGCCCGGCUGAAGAAGAAGCGGCUGGACUGUACUGUACGCUGCUACAGCAACCUUCAUGCACUGUUAAAGGUCUUCCCACCCUUCUUACAGGUAGUUUUACUCUUUCCCACACACACAGCGCAGGGAUUGGUGGCAGGUUUCCCUCCUUUUUAUUAUUAUGAAUAAGACAUCUCAUAGAAAUCUGCCCAUUAGUUCCUGAGAAAGCUUGUCACGAUCCACGUGGCUCAAAAGGCACGAGAGGAAAGAUCAUGGGUCACCAAAAUCAUUACCGAUCCUCCCCGGGGAAGAUAAACACAUUCAGCAAACGGCACUCCUUCAACAUCAAGCUGUGGACCAAACUCAGCGGUGUCCCAAUCUAAUACGAAAAAGGUCUGGUAGGGUUAAGAUCAGGGGUCUCAAGCUCCGGCUGCCCCGCCAACGGGCGGGUACAGACUUUGGCGUACCGUCAGCCAGCGCCGGCCCCUCGCCGGUCGGACCGUUGAGGUUAUGCCCCUUUGGUCAACACACUCGCUAAUUGCCUCUAUCCAAAUUUUCAGGCUCCCUUUGGAUAAAACUGUUAUUAAAUCAAUAAAAAGCUAAAUCAGACGCAUUGAUGCAGAAUCUGUUGAUAGAGGUUACUUAAAAACUAACCAUAAUAUCAGAGGUUAGUGCUCCUAGAAAGGACGUACAGCUGAAUCAUCUCAAUCUGGAAAUGUGAUUUACUGAUUUACUGAUUUAACAGGGAAUGUCUUUGAACAAGACAUGCAUGUUGGGGCCACCAAUUCUUGACACACAUGAGGGAGGCAUUAAAAAGCCAACACAGAUGGGCGCCUCUCUGACAGUCUGACCACACAGACAUCUGACAGCAGCAUUGACUGGCUUCACCAGUAUUCGCUACUAUUUCUCCAAAUAUCGUUUUUUCAGAUUUGGUUGGAUAAAAAGAUCAAUUUGAAAUGGACGUUCUUCCUGAUUUGAUGUCUUGUCUGAAAUGAUCGUGAUUAUGAUAAAGUGUGAGGCUGGAUGGUAGCGACACGAUUAAGAGGUCAGUUUACUCUAAAUGACCCCCCCCCCCCCCCUCCCUUGACUUUGUGCAACAGAUGUACCACUUAAACUUUGAUUUCAGAUUUAAAUGACAGUAGUGAUAUAACAAUACCCAGAACAGUGUCAAAAACGUUUGAAUUACUUACUAUUUAAUAGAGAAUAGGAAACCACGAGGCGACCAUGAAACAUUAGCCUGAGAUGAACAGAAGAGCUGACGGCUCUAAAGAAGAGGGUGGAUCUGAUUAUGUAUUCCCUGGGGAUUCUGGAGGUGUGGGGGGGUGUUGAGGGGGACUGGGGGGUCCUGGUUAACUGGAUUGGGAAAGCGCUGGGGAAAGAGUGGGGUGGAGUCCAGCUGGAAACAGAUACGCACCCAGAAAAUAGCAGGUGCCCCCCUUUCCCAACCUCAGCUGGUGCCACCGCGAACCCUGACUUGACCUUGUCUAUAAAGGCCUCUCUCUCUCUCCAUCUCCCCCUGCCUCUGCCUGGGUCUCUCACCCUCCCCCCUUUAUUUUCCUCCCGCUGUCGCUCUGCUUCCCCUCAGCAAGUGUCCCUCAAAUGGCACUUCAGGGCAGCACAGAGACCGAAAAAGAGAGCGAGAGGAGGGGAGGCACCGACGUUACUGUACAAGCUGCGGCGGAAACAAUUUGGAAAUGAAUGAUGCUUUUUGAGUCCCUUAAGGCACUUAUGUCUUCUUCACUUUCCCUCCCUCUCUCUCUCUCUCUCUCCCCGCUCCCUGUCUCCCUCUCCCUAUUUGGGAGGGAGGUGUAGGGUGAGUCUGGAUUAACAUAAAGGAACAAGCACAACAACAGCGGACUCUGAAAGAGCUAACCGGUGGGUGGAUUAAGUAUGUCAUUGAAUGGGGUUUUGUUGUAAAUGAUGGGGUGGGGUAGGACCUCAUCCCCAUCUGGUCUUUUUAAAGAAUACCUUGUGGUAAUUACCCCCCAGACAGCAUUGUGGAGCGCCCGGGCCGUCCGGCCAGGUGCCUGCGAGCCCCGCUGCGUCCGGCCAUUCAGCGGCACUGCACGCUGCCCUGCAGAAAAUGGACUCAAGGUCACCGCCUGAUUUUUUUUUUUUUAAGACUCUCAAUUGAUAGGGUUUUAAAUAAAUACACUCCUAGUGCAGCCGUAUAAUCCCGACACCAAGAAAACAUCUGGGGAUGAUAUCUGAAUUUUCUAUCAACAGAUUUCUUUAAAAUAAAACACUUCUUUUAAAACUGAAACUUUUGUAGCUGCCGCAACAGUGAAUGUUCAGAGUGUGACAAUAAAUCCUGGGUCUCUUUUGACUUUCCCUCUCAGCUCCCUGGAGAGAUCCCCUCUGUUAGCUGAGUUUGUUUGGCUGCCCUCCUUCAGAAAGGAAAGUGUCUGCUUGCCACUCUUGACCCUCUUAAGGGAGAAGACAAGUCCAGAGAAAGGCUUUGAGAAAACUCCUAAGGGGCUUCCUCUGGUUCCCUUUUUAUUUAAUUUCUUCUCCUUUAGUUCUGAAACCGGUGCUUCGGUCAUGACAUGGAAUUGAUUUUACCUCAUGCUAUCACCGCAGUCGGGGUUUAUUUCUUUACAACGAGUCGGUUUCAUGUCUUUUCAAACUGCAUUGGAAUCAAAAUGAGCUGCGUCUUGAAUUGGGCCUCGUUCACUUAAAAGUGCGUAAAAAUGUUAUUUCUUUGCAUGCAAAACAAGCCUGUCUGUGCAAAGGCACAUUUUUAAGCACAGAUUUUUGCGGAUGCAUUGUUUGUGAAUGGUACUAAUAAGUCACUAAUUGUAAAUACUCACUAAAGUGACUGACGAUAAAACAUCAACAUACCUGGAAGCAAAAAGAACAACUGAACCAAAUAUAUACAGGCAACUGUAUGUGUUUGAUCAAAAUAUAUGUAUUCAUCACAUCCUUCUUUUUAAUCAAGGACAUUUUUUUAAAAGAAUAUAUUCUGAAAAUGUGUGUAUUUUGUAAACAAGUAGUGUUGGCUAUACAUUUUUUGUUUUAACUAACUAAGAUUUUUUUCCCAAACAGCAGAGAGGAUUUUAAUUAAUUGAAAUUAUUUAAUAAGGCAAUGUUGUUGUAUGGCAUUGGACAAUGUUGUUUUUAGCCAUUUAAAUAUGUUUAGAUGUAAUAAGGAAUAGGAAUGUGUAAAUGUACUUUUCUAGUCUCUAGUGCCUUAACACGACGUGUCAUCAUUCACAGCCAUUCAUACACUGAGGACCACCGAGGACCACUGAGGACCACCGAGGUGCGGCCUGCCCAUCAGUCUAACAUUCACACACCGUAGUCACAGCUACGGGGGAAACGUGGGGUAAAGUGUCUUGCUCAUGGACACAUGGACACGGACUAGCGGAGCUUGGGGUUGAACCUCCGAUCCUCUGAUUGGACGAGCCUGCUGCCCCACUGAGCCACGGCAAUGAAAUAAUAAAUAUAUGCUAAAGCAUUCGUCAGUGAUCUUAACAGGUCUCUAUAUGUAUGGGGGCAAUUGAUCAUUUCUCAAUACAAUCAAAUCGCAUGCUGAAAUAUGGUGCAAGCCAUGUUUAUAGGGAACCUUAAUCAAUUCCUACAUUAGUUUUGGUCCGUAGCCUCCCAGUGGUGAGCACACUCACCUAGAUCCUGUUUGUGAUUAACAGUGCUCAUAGUGAACAAUAGGUGCUUGACCUUUGCCACUGACACACAUAAAGGGUCCCAGGGCACCCAUCAGCUUUUCAGCUUUAUUCAUGGAGCAAAUACAAACAGAUAUGGAGCAGCCAAGGACUUCAACUGUGCUACAGCAGAUGAUUAGACUCAUCUACAUAGUACGUACCACAGUAUGGUGGGGCCAAGGUAAUGCUGCUGCAUUGCUGCGCUUAUCCAAACUAUACAAAGGCUCCAAAUGUGUGCUGGAGAUUUGAAUCUGCGUGCACACUCACUCAGUAAUACAUUUAACAUGCAGAAAUUGACUUGUGUUGCUGUACAUUUGUAGAAGUCACAAAACUAAGGAAUAACUUCUGGUGCUUCCACAGUAUCAUCAUUCUGGAGAAUGCUGUGCCUUGAUUUAUACAAAGUGGUGUUACUGUUAUUUAGCAUACUCUCAUUGAUACACAUGAGGAUGGGCAAACACUAGAAACACCUGCCGGUGUAAUGCAAUAGAGUGAUGAGCUUUUAAAGAAAAAUAGUUAGACUGUUAUGGUGUGCUCCCUUUUCCGGGCACCUCAAACUCUCUGUAGACCCUGAAGCCGACCCAACAUAUGAUGGAGGGCUGUCAUUAACCAUUGGAUUGAUGACCAUUUUGUACAGGUUUACAAAGGCAGAGCCUGAGACUGACGCCGAUGAUUUUUUUCCUUCUGUCCGAUUCACGGAUUGUCCAUGACGAGCGCCAUGUUGGGGGAUGUUCAUAAGGAGGAUGUUCAUAAGUGCACGUGGUACGAGAGGUACAUGGGCCCAAGAUUGGUGAUCGAUUUUUUACCCUAUUUUUUAUCGUAUCGUCUGAUCUGAAUUCGCAUGUUUUGGACACUUUUAGGAUCACAUCAAGGCGCGGUAACGCUCGAACACCAUGGUGGACACCAGUGGUCAGGGAAGCCGUCAGACUGAAGAAGGAGGCCUUCUGGGUUAUGAUAUCUGGUGGGACUCCACAGGCAGUAGCAAUGUACCGACGAGUGUGGGAGGAGUUCGGUGAAGCGACGGAGAAGGACCUCUGGACCAAAGUUCUUCUGGAAGACCAUCUGGCACCUCAAGAGGGGGAAGCAGGGAAUCAUCAGGACUGGACAAGUGAAAACAAAAUUUCAGACUGACCCUGAUAAAUUAAAUAUAAAUUUGGUCAGCUGGUGAUUCUGGGGCAUACUUCCAGAACCAUUCCCCAUUCAGGGCAUGAAAUUUGGACCCGCCCACCUGCCAAAUGCGGGUGGAAUUUGGCUGUGGCGGGAAAAGCUCUUACUACUUACUGGCUUUUGGUGAAUAAGUUCACACGCCACAUCUUGAGAAGAAAACACCAACCAAGUUGUACUGCUAAUGUUGUAUCGUGCGCUUAUCGCUUUACCCUCUUGCCCACCGUUCGCUCGUAACAAAGCAACAUCGACGUGAGAGGUGGAGGCUUUUGGUGCCGCUUGGGACCUGCUCAGUGCAAGACAAGGAUGUAGCGGCACAGAGUAGGUGUAGGAAAACCCGGAGGGCAGAAACAAGAGAGAAAAACAUGGCGAUGUAACGUAGAUGAAGGGAUAAAGAAAAAGAAAAAGAAAAGACUGUGGCGGUCGGGUCGAGAAUGGCUGGUUUAUGAUUCAGACAAGAAAAAAAUGUAUUGCACUGACUGUAGGACAUUAAAGUGUAAGGGCGUCUCUUUUGUAGCUAGGACAAGAAAUGUCAAAGUGACAUUUCCGUUGGCCAUGUCAAAAGCAUUGCGAUUAAAUGGAGGACAACAAAGUGAGGCGGUAAGAUCCCUGGUCCUCAUGAACAGCCAUGAACAGCGGAUCUUCAUACCAAAGGAGCUUUACAUACCUGUUGUGUAUGUACAGGUGACUUGAUUUGGGUGUUUACAAUGGUCAUUUACAUUUGAAAGGAUUUUGAAUCUAGUUCUUCAAGUAAACUAGAAAACCGCAGUCAACUUUAAUCCAAUUUCUCAACAAAAUUGGAGCUAAUGAAAUUGCUGAGUGGCCCGUAACUUUGGAAAACCACAGUGAGCAAAAAUGUUAAUGUCAAACCCUGGUUGGGCCCAAAGGAUGGAACCUUCUCGUCUCUCUGGAGUCGAUGACCGACUGUUCUUGAAAGUAAUGCUUUUUAGCAAGGAAUAUAUCAAAGUACAGUAGUCAUAGUUCCCAUUGGCCCUCUCCAAACUGGAUAACUGCUCCAAGUGGGCACUGCACUAAUGGGAUUUGCAUUAAACUCUGUCUUCUUUGGAUGUUAAAAAAAACAAUAUGUAGUGUUGCAUAUGCAAAAUGAUGCAGACUGUUCAAUAUUUCAAAGAGUUAAAACCCAGGGCAGAAAAAAAGUCUUCAUGGCACUCAGUCCCCAGAUGGCAGCUGCUUAUUAAGCUUAUUGAUCUGAGAGCACAGUAAUUAUAGAUGAUGAAUGUAUCAAGACGUUGAUGUUGUUUCUCAUCUGGAUCUCAGCUGCUGGACGGUCAGAGGACAGUGUUGAGAAAUGGUCAACAAUCAGAGUAGGUGGAAGUUGGCUUUUGUGGUCCUCUUUUCUGUUUGGAGGGAAGGGCCCAGUGAGCUGUAGUGACCUGCAGGGGAGGGUCCUAACAUCUGCCUGAACAAACAGCGCCCUCUGCGCGGCCCUGCUCGUGAUUAUUGAAUAUUGACAAUUGAGAGACAUUCCUCAGGGGACAAAAGAGCUGAACAAUGGUCGGGGAGUGUCUCUUUGUCAUAAAUGUGCCAGGGAGCACAAAGUACGUGUAAUUGGCCCCCCGAAACCAUCACCGGCUUUGACAAGUCGGCACAAAUGGAAAUUCAUGAUCACAUUUUUUAUUAUUGCUCAACAUAAGAUGUUUAGAAUGUGCUUCGUUCUAAUAAUAUGUUCACUAUUUGUGUCCGAUGUUAAGAUUCCGUGCACAUCCUGAAAACAGGGAGUUUUUCUGUGUAUAAAACAUUCAUAUUUACAAUGAAGAUGAAAUAAUUAAGCCACUUGCAAAUGACAAGGUAAAAAAGUUAACUUUGGUUUAAGGAAACUCUUGAGUAGAUAAUAAUGAGUGAAUAUAUAAGACCCAUGUACAUACACAUAUAUAUAUAUAUACAUAUAUAACUGUGAUAAAAACAGUUUAUGUCUAAAAUCUUUUAUUAUUCAUAUUUUACCUCCCAUAAUCUACGUAAUGUAACAAACAAAUAUGUUAUGACUAACCGAGAUUUUUAGUAAAUGUUUUCAUUUAGUUGCAUUUCCCUUGCUGCUUCACCGCAGGCUGAGACCGUGAUGUGCAAGAAGAAGCGCUUCCUUUGGGACGUAAUUGAGGCUGCAGUUGAUUCGUAUGGGAAUGUAUUUUUGUUGCAGACCAGGGGUAUUUUUCUAUUUUUCUUGAUAAUGUUCACUUACAUCAGGCAGUUCCCAGUAGGUUGUUAAUUAUGGCUAAAGGAAAUAAAUGGCAGCCAAUGUUUGAAUUAAAAUAUGAACCCACAACCACAUUCUUUCGAAUGGAUUUGGUGUAUGGACUAAAACAAGCAAGCAAAAGGGACUAUGAGGGUCCCUUUAAAAUAAAACAAAUAUCCCAAGCACAUUAAAAAUAGAAUGCUGAUGAGCAGAUAUUGUGCUAUAGUGCUCGGAGCUUUCAGCACAAAAACGACACCAUGACACGCGUCCCUCUCUGCCAUCAUUUUCUCAUUCCAACAGUGAAACCCUUUGUGCUGAAACAUCAUCAGAAGCAUGUUUUGCUCUCACCGCUGCAUCAUAUCAUUUUGCCAUCUCUCUCAUAAAACGCCGUGGACCUUUUGUCUACACGCGGUAACCGCCGCAGGGUGACCGGUUCAGAGUGUUAAUUAACACAGAAACAUUUUUGCAACAGCAGCUGUGGCUUCACUGAUAAAGUGCUAUUUACCACACAGAGUUAAAAUUAUGCAUGCGCCGCACUUCAAAAUGUACAAUUAUGGCCUGCUGGUGAUGCUGAAGAGGUUUUCUGUUGGUUACGUAGGCUUGAUGUAAUUAAUCUUACUUAAAAUCUCUGCCAAGGAAAAUGGUGGCGAUAAGCAGAAUGUAUAAAUAAUCAUAAUAAUAAUACACAUCAGGCAGCGUUCAUUUAUGCAGGGUUCGAUUUGCCCAUGAAGAGUUGGGUGAGGAAUGGGUGAGGAAUGGGUGAGGAGAGAGAGCUGCUUGCUGAUGCUUUGUCAGACGUCUGAGCGCGACGGACUUAUCGGGUGAAACUACUCUGGUCUCUAUGAGACGCACCAGACUUCCAACUGACUCCAAAAUCAACCAAUCUUGCAUGAUUGACUGCCGUAGCGACAGAUGUAGUCAGAGGUUAGCUGAUUGGUUGUUGUGGUGGUUUGGGGCAAAGAAGCACUGGACUCUUGGGCCACAAAAAUACCUAAAGUCACCCUAAAAACCCAGUGCUGUUUGCAAUUUUGAAAUUUCUCCAGAUAAACGGUAACAGCAUUGAAUCGUUUUUGUCCCUGUAUCUAAAAUGAAAUGGUUUUGAUCGCAGCCAAUUUCCACAAACGGAAAAACACAAACAGAAAAAGUGAUGGUCCCACUGCUGCAUCAGCUUCAACCCGCAGAGACCCGGAGGCGGUGUGGUCAGAGCCGGCGGCGAGCAGUAUCGUUGCAUUGUCGUUUUCUAAACAACACUCAUCUCCACUGAGAAAGUUACGUCACGUGAACUUAGGGGGCGUCGUCACGCGGCUCGACCAAUGAGCAAAUUUGGAGGCGGGCCAAAGACUUAAGAACAGAAACAGAUGAGAACCAGCAGGAAAUGGAGAAAGGAGGAAAACUCUUUGAGGACAUUUUCAUUUAAAAUGUCUUUCAGACUCUGGCUGUGGCAAAUAGCUUUUAUUUGAUUACAUUAUUGUUUAAGUUGCGAUGUACAGUAAAUAUUGUAACUACUACUAUGUAAAGGGAAUACUGCUGUUACCAUAUUUUUUUUAACUGUUUGCAAACUAAAGGUUAUUGCAGUUUUGUUAAUAUAUUAGCACUUUUAAAAUAAAGGUGCGUAAUACGCUACCUUCAAAUUGAAUUGAUUGAAAAAUGAAUCUCUGCCUGUCACUAAUUUUAACUGCUGAAUGUGGUUUUUCAGAUCUGAAUUUGCAACGUAACCAGUAACCUUUCACUGUCAGCUAAGUUAAGCAUUACAAUGUUUUCCUCUGCAUGUGUGUGUACGUGGUAUGAGAUAUUGCAUAAUGUUUUACGGUGCCUUUUUGUUUUGGAUGAGUUAUAAUAAAAUAAAUCAACUAGUUGCUUGCUGCGGCCCAGUAAUGAAUUAACGCAGCCGAGUUCUGCAGGUUUAGUAAAUAACACGUGUGGGGGACUAUUUUUAGCUGCGGAUGAAUCAACGUUUGGUGUUCCGGGGGCAUCAGGAAUCCGUAGUAAAGGAACAAGAGGAUGUGAAGAGCGUUUUCUGCACCUGGAAGCUCCACAACGUUUCUAAAUUGGCUUCACAUUCCCGUCCCUUCUUGCCUCUGAUUUUGGGGGUUGUUUUCCCGCCCCAGGCACACAUGGUGUAACAACUGUUUUACAAGCGGGGGUGAAAUCUUGAUUACACGCUGACCGUCAGCAAUUGUAACCUUUGAUCUCCGCCCAGCAGCGGAGGGCCGCUUGUAGGAAAGCGCACGCGAGAGCUUGAACCCGGAUAGAAGUCACACGCGGUGGCGAGGAAGGGAAGUGAAAGGACGAAAAAGAAAAAAAGCCGGAAACACGCUGUUCGCCGGUCUCUAUUGAUUUGUGGAGGGUGUUGAAAAGGUCUUUGGUCGUGCCCUCACCAAAGGAUACUAAUUUGCUCGAUCAAGUCCGUCGGCGUAUCGACUGGGAGGAGGCUGAGCGGCCGCCAUUGUGUCGGCCUUCAGCGGGGAGCUGGUCUGUGAAACAGGAUUACCAGAGGUCAGGCAGCCAGUGAAAGGAUGUCCAUCACUUCCUUGGGGGCGCUAAUACAAAGGGGCGGGGCCCACAGAGACGUGAUUGAGAUGUUGAAGACCGGAGGGGAGGGGAGCUGCGGGCCCACCGCCGCCCCCCCACGAGCAUGCAGAUUCGCAGCCCGGUAAUCUGUGAGCUUCACGGUUGCAGAGACUCAGAGAGGCUUUUGUUUUCAGCCACAAAAGAUGUUGAAAGGGUUCCUCUCUAUUCUGAGAAAUGAAUGCCAUAUACUGAUGAUUUUAAAUGGUGGCAUAAUCCAUCGUCAACCAUCCAUCUAGUUUCUCUUAGAUUUGACCACUAACAACAUACCACGUUAUAUUGUUAUAAAUCCAAAACAUUUAAAAAUAAAUCCAUAUAGAGAACUGAUAGGUUUAAUUAAUGAUGCAACUCUGUCUGUGCCCAAAUAUUAACAUUUUAACACCUGGAGUUCCAGUCAAACGGAACAUAGGACUGUUUGCAUCUGAUUGGAUUGCCAAAUAGUGGGCGGGCUUAUGAUGCCAGUUGACGAUUGGUGCUUCAUAAAACCGGGUUGGAGUUUGCUUUCAGUGUAAAUAAUGUUUUGCGUUGUUAAAUGUAUAUUUACAACACAACCGCAAAUGUGAUCAAAAAUAAUUAUUGCAAUUUAAGACCAAAACCAGGAUACAAAUACGUAAGCGACAUGAGAAAUAAAAAGACACCUUUCCUGUGACCACACAAAGUUAGUAUUUUAAAACUUAAACUGAGGAUUCACGCAUUGGCAAAAUGAUCAAUGUCUGUGUUUCUCUUUUGAUCAUAACCAAGCAUUACUAUGAUUAGUAAACUCCCAAUAAGAGCAGGGAAAUAUAAAACUUGGGGUUGUUUCUCUGUCACAGUACCAACAUCUUUCACCUAAAACAGAUUCAUUAUGAAAAGCAAGGCUGGCUUUUAAUUUAAAAACUGUAAAAUUCAAAGUAAUAUUUAGUUUAAUUGAUUAGUAACAUCUCCAUUAUGAUUCUGGUUCAAACUUGUCAUAAUACGUCUUCUUAAUUUAUAAUCUGGAUUCACUCAUUGUCAAACCUAAACUAUGAUUUGAACUGAUCUUAGAUUAAAUUCAUAUUGCUGCUAUUAUUAUAAGUUAGCCUUAUUACUUACUUAUUACUGAUCUAAUAAUUGGUAUUUCCUCGCUGGGGACUGAACAUGGAAUGAAUUAUGGAUUGUGCCCUAAACGUUAUAAUAUAUGUUAUAUGAUAUUAAAUGAAUUACGCUUAUGUGACGUUUAUAAUUGAAGAGAGUCGGUUAAAGGGGGAGAAUCCUUUUGUAUUUUUCUCAUCCUGUGACAAAUAUGAAGAAUCCUUUUUGUUUUCCUCCCAUGGUACAAUGGGAAAGAGAAAGCUCAUGACCUGGUAAUGCAUUCAGGCUGUGUGACAAAGCAGGUUCUCUCCAGUUGGGAGGUGAACAAGAAAUGGAAUAGACACAGAAUUCAAUACGCCAUUAAUAGAAUAACAACUAGACGGGCCGUGUGUGGAAUUGGUGUUGGGUCACGGCCUCUCUGCGGCUCAACCCAUCUGCCUGUCGUUACGCGCCGCGUCCCCUCGCCACACGCCGCCCCGUGCGCGCCAUGCCACUGUACAAACAUCUCCUUUGUGAGGCCGCUUUGGGGGCACUGAUAACCUCCCAACCACAUGAAACCCAAGCCUGGCAUCUGAAGAGAGACCACAGCCCAUCACAGACAUGACCCCUUUGUGGAAACAAGCCUUUCUCUCCAUUGAGCAAACAGGCAAUUAGCUAUUAUGGAGACUGACUGCCAGGAUUCCUGGCUGCUUUUUUUCCGCGGAUGAGGUUGCAGCCUCUUACCUCUAUAGGUGGGACAUCUGCUGAAGGUGCUUGUGUCCCCUCGGAUAAGUACCAGCCGAGCACGAGCCCAGCACCUUUUCAACCUGAUCACAUAGGUAUUUAGCUCUCAGCCCGGGGCCUCUGUUUGUCUUAUUCCCCCCCGAGCAGGUGUUUUAUAAUCAUUAGCAACUCCAUUACGACCAGCAGCUCCGAGUAGAAGACAAACAGCGGCCGUGUCUAUUCUCAAUGGAACCAUCUGGUGGCAGGGAGGGAAAAAUGGCAGUGUUUGCGCCAGUGUUUGCCGAUGGUCACAUAAUUGUGUUUCAAAGGAGAGGCGGCAGAUAGCAGACCGGCCGGGCUCAAGUGCCGCUGGGUUUUUAUAGAAUGUUUCCAACGUCUUUGUCCAUUUGGCCCACGUCCCCGUGUUUGCAUUCAUCCGUCUACAGUAGGGGCUUCCUUCACUAAAUGCUUUUCUUUUUUUUUCUCCAAAAAAUGCUUUUGUAGACAGUCAAUAAAUUUCACAUUCGCAGAGCCGCUGGCCCAUUGAAAUUAUCCAGGCUACGCAGCCCCCCCCCCCCAGCGAGUGUUUGCAGCUACAUAUGCUUCAUCGCUGUGAAUACAACGCUGCUUUCCAGGCUCUUUUAAAGGCACAGUCCUUAGGAAGAAAUCAUUUAUGGUGGGCCAGCAAUUGGAAAAUGUUUGAUAUUCAUUUUUUGCGUGCACGUUGGUUAUCCUUCUAGCCCCUCGUGCAUUUGAUACGUGUACUAGCAACCGACAGUAAAAUAAAUACCUACAAUAUGAUUUUUUUCAAUACGAUCAAACAUCACGUUUGUGCACUAUUCUGAAUCUUUCCAAGUGUUAUUAUUUUAAAUUAGGUAACAAUCGAAGCAGCAAAGACACCAUGA
ensembl:lncRNA